GCCUUCUUAGCUCAGUUGGUAGAGCGCGUCACUAGUAAUGACGAGGUCAGUCGUUCAAAUCGGCUAGAAGGCA
rfam:Sphaerobolus stellatus SS14 unplaced genomic scaffold SPHSTscaffold_5, whole genome shotgun sequence.